rnacentral:rRNA from 1 species
AUCUACGGCCCUGCCACCCUGAACAAGCCUGAUCCCGUCUGAUCUCGGAAGCUAAGCAGGGUCAGGCCUGGUUAGUACUUGGAUGGGAAGCCAACUAGGAAGACCAGGUGCUGUAGGCG